CCUACGGGUGGCAGCAGUGAGGAAUAUUGGUCAAUGGGAGAGAUCCUGAACCAGCCAAGCCGCGUGAGGGAAGACGGCCCUAUGGGUUGUAAACCUCUUUUGUCGGAGAACAAAACCCGGGACGUGUCCCGGACUGCGUGUAUCCGAAGAAAAAGCAUCGGCUAACUCCGUGCCAGCAGCCGCGGUAAUACGGAGGAUGCGAGCGUUAUCCGGAUUUAUUGGGUUUAAAGGGUGCGCAGGCGGCGUGUCAAGUCAGCGGUAAAAUGUCGGGGCUCAACCCCGGCCGGCCGUUGAAACUGGCGUGCUCGAGUUGGAGAGAAGUAUGCGGAAUUCGUGGUGUAGCGGUGAAAUGCAUAGAUAUCACGAAGAACCCCGAUUGCGAAGGCAGCAUACCGGCUCCACACUGACGCUGAGGCACGAAAGCGUGGGUAUCGUACAGGAUUAGAUACCCCGGUAGUC
rnacentral:rRNA from 1 species